AAGUCGUAACAAGGUUUCCGUAGGUGAACCUGCGGAAGGAUCAUUAAUAAUAUAGCAAACCGAGCGUUAGCGAGGUUCUGCGAUCAAAAUUGUAUUUAAAACCCAACACUUUGAAUCAAUAUUUUUUUAUGUAUCUUAAAUAAUAAAAGAUCACUUUCAACAACGGAUCUCUUGGUUCUC
rnacentral:misc_RNA from 1 species